AAGGGUCCAACAAGUGGUAUCAGAGCUGAUGCCCAACAACUGGUAUCAGAGCUGAUGCCUAACACUUUUGUCUUUUUUUAACUUUUUCUUCUAUAUCUCCUAUCUUUCCUUCCCUUUAACAUGUAUGCUCUUAAUGACAUAUCUUUGAUGACAUUUAUAUAUUCACAAGAUGAAUAUUGCAGAAACGAUGAUGUUAUAUGGAUUUUUUAUCAUAUAAGAUUAGAAAUGAUCACAUUCGACAAAAGGUUCAAUUAAGUAGCACGAGUUGAGAGUAAGACAAGAGAAGGACCUACAGCUUUCUAACAUUAGUGCGGACUUUCUUAUGAACACAGUGAAAAUUGAAACGGUAGAUUCAUAUAGUCAAACCUUAACUAAUUUGAGAGUAUAUAUAUGUAAAUUUAUUUUGAUGCAGCUUUUAUUGCAGCUUCUAUCCUAUUAAUACAUGAUUUAUAAAGAAAUCCCAAAUAGUCCAUUAUGUUGUCCUCAGAAGCACCUUCUAAAGGGUCAAUCUGAAAUGACCAAUUAACUAAAGUUGAAUCAUCUCCAUAAUCCACAAGUUUUAAUGUAUUUACUGAUCCAUCUAACCCUACAUUGCUUGCUUCCAUUUUGUAAACAUAGUUAUAUGAUGUUAAGUCCAUACAAACCAACCUCUCUUUAAUCCAUGACCUUUCACCAUCUUCUUGGGGGAACAUGAAGCCGGAGACUAACCGAACAUAGCCAGGAACUCCUUCAUCUCCGACCAAGUCAGUGCAUCUCUCAACCAUUGGCAUCCAUUCUGCUUUUGCAGGGAGGUUGUUUCCGUGGCUUGAGAACCCAUCACACUCGGCUCGUAAGACUAUUACUCGAAACGUUCAAGAUGCUGUCAAACGUUGGUGAUAAAAAUAUUACUAGUCUAAUACAAAGGCUUAUCUUCAUAUAACGCAGAAAAAUCUAGCUUAUUGAACUAUGAGCAUGAGUUGAAAUAGCAGAUAGAAAAGCCGGUUGUGAGAAAAAUACUCAUUAUUUGUUGUGAAGGAAUCCUAUGAAGAAAUGUAACAGUUGUAAUGUUCUUAUUAAGACAGAACUAUUGAUAACUCCAAGACUACACCUUUGGAAUUUACAAUUGUUUAAAAAACAUUCUUCUGAUAGAUUGAUAAA